GCCGGGCCGCACGCCUCAGCCCAACAGCGCAUCCGGGCACCGAUUCCAUUUCCAGCGCCCGCUCAUGCCUCCUAAGUCGUUUGGUUUUGGUUUGGGUUUUUUGUUGGUUUUUUUUCGGAUAUAUUUAAGAGAUGGAAGUAGGAGAAAACACUGCAUCCAAAGAUAAUUGGAUGUUGUCGUUCUAAUUUCUUGUCAUCUCCCAUUCUAUAAUUUUCUGUAUCUUUUAAAUGUAUGGCGUUUGGAAGUAUGUUACUUUCACAGGCACUUAUUAGUUGCUACAUUCCAACUCAAAGUGGUUCGUUUUUAUUCUGCCUGCCUUUUCUAAUUCUCGGGUUUUUUCUUUGCCCAUUGACAUUUUAAAAUUAUUUUUGAAUAAUGAAAAGCUUUGUCAGAGAACAUGAGUGCUGCAGACAGUGUUUAAAGAUAGGCUAGAGCAGGGAGAGCGUAACGCUAAAUUUUCCAUGACAACUAACUUGUCCAAACAAGCAGCGGAUAACUGCCUGGACUUGUCUGCUGGCCAAAUACAGCUUCUCAGCAACCAUGGCACCUUGUAAAAAUUCCAGCAAUGGUUUAAAUCUAGAUAUUUGUGUGAUGAUGGAUUUUCAAGAUCACUUUGUUAUCCCUCUAGAGCAUAAAACUCAAGGUCUAGUGAGGGACAACCGAGAAGCUGCCAAAAUUCUGCAAAGCCUGCUCACCUUCUUUUAGUGCUGGGAUUUCAAGGCAAACAGAAAUCUGUUUCAAGUGGAGUCAAGAAUGUCCUGCAGCAGACAAAGUCCGAUAUCUGCUCUUUUCCACCCAGAACCCCAGUUCCUGAGAUCCUUAGCUAGCUGAUUUCAUUAUUAGGAGAAAACUCCAUCUACACAAAAAUACAAGAGGAUGGAAGUGAAUAGCUACUAAACAGCUCUGCUACUGAUGCUCAAUCUUUUCCUCAUGCAGACAACACAAAAACUAUUUAAUUCCAAUGCAAAAUAUAUUUUGCUGAACUGAAAUCAAACCAAACUGUUUAUGUAGUUCUCCCCAAGCUAUCACAUUAUUGAUCCUUGUCUUAAGCACAGUUCCAUUUUGCUAUGGCUGUUUGGAAAUUAAAGAGCUUUUUUAAAUUGGCAAUAAGUUUUCUGCAGUCCAAGACGUGCCAAACUCAUUACUAUGACUUGCUUUUCCCACUUCUCUACCAAUAAGCAUCUUGUGACCAAUGACUUUGAGACUAUUUAAAUAAUAAUUUCCCUUACCGACUCAUUAACUGCUAAGGAUAAAAAACCCUCAACAGUUUCUGUCUAGAAUUUUUAUCAGUCCUCAAGGACAAUCUUAUCUCUUUUCUCCAACAGAAUAAUCUUGAGUUAAAGGCGAUUGCAAGUAGGUAAAAUAUGCUGUCUGUGCUAGCUUAAGGAAAGAGGGGGUAUUUUCUGAUAUGCAGUGGUGCAACACUUGUUUGUCACUAAUACAGCUGGUGUUGCUAUGUCAUCAACAUACAUUAUUAUUUUCUUAUUAUUAUGUGCUUGAUAAUUCAGGACAAGUAUAAUUAAAAAGUUUUACUUGAAGGAUGAGUAAUAAGCUUGUAUAGUUACAACAGCUGGCUUCUCCACUAUUUGAAGGCUGUAAAAAGAAAAGGAGAUGUCACUAUACCUGUGUAUUUUACUUACAGUGCUACAGAAAAUAUCUGGAGUAGUUAAGACCCAGCUGCCUUAACUGGAGAGACUAACUUUAUAUUGUGGUUAACUAACAUUGUAUGAGACCCUUUUUAAUAUAAAUUCAGAUUCUAACUGUAGACAUUUCCCUGUUUAAUGCUUACAAGCUAAAUUAUUUCCUGAGUUGGAUCUGGUCCCCCUAUAGGCACAUGCGCCAGAAGAAAGGUGGGCCCUUGUGCUGCAGGAGUGCUCAACUCAAGUGAAUGGAUGGACCAUUAAAACACUUCAAUUUCUGAUUUUUGUUCCUCACUGUAAUUUUUUUGCAACCCCAAGAUGUCCUACUUACCUUUUCCUAGCAGACCCCUGUUCCGCAUCCAGCACAUACAUGAUGUGUUCCUUGCCAGAUGCUGAUCAGAGGCAUAGGUGGCCAGGGUUUGCCAGGUCUCAUCUCCAAGCCAUUUGCUCCUGAUCAGAUAGAAUAAUCUUGUACUGUCUAUGAACUGCACCCAGACAAAAAAAUAAAUAAAUUCAAAGCAACCCUCCUGGGCUUUGCACUGUGCUGAUAUACGCUUUCUGUAGCCUUAGAUUGUAUCUCUACUACUGUGACAUAAAGCUGGGAUCUGGGGUCCAUUGUGUGUUGCAGAUUAUCAGGCAUCUCAAGGUAAAAGGACAAAGGAAGAAAGAUGCUGAAAUGCAGCUGGGACAUGUGUUGCUUAAUGUGGCUUUCUGCCAGGGCUGCCUGCUGCAGCUGUGACCCCACGUGCCAGACAGUGGGUCAGUACAAUUCUGUACAAAUACAGGAGAAAGAAUUCUGUUGUUUUCUUGACACUCCUGUUGUGUAAAAAAAAGCACAGCAAUAAGAAAUCCUCAUGGCAGUAAUAGCAUAUUUAAUUCAGUGAAAUUAUAUUUCAUAAUCUAACACCUAUCCCAGUGGAGAGGUCUGUCAGCACCUCCACCAGAAAUUCUUACUAGAAAUGACACUCAGGUUCUACUAAGUGAAAAGCAGAUGCAGCCUUCCUGGGAGCAAGUUUGAACAGACAGGAAGGAAUCAAGAGCACAGCUCAUAGCAGCAGUGAGAACCCAAAAACCACAGGCAAUGCUAUUGCAGUGGUUUAACAAGGAACAGUAAAUUCUCCUUGCUGUCCAGCUUGUGUUUUCAUGGUGUGCAGGAGACAUGUUUAAGCUUCCCAGGGCUGCACUGCCGUUCCAAACAACCCCAGUUACUCUGCAGGCUGUGUGGCACAGCAGGCGUUCUACAGCUUCACCUGGGUGCACAUCCUGGGCUGUGGUGUCUUAUCACAGGAUCACACAAUAUUCUGAUUUGGAAGGAAACCCAAAAGGAUCAUCAAAAUCCAACUCCUGGCCCUGCACAGGACACUUCCGAGAAUCACACCAUGUGCCCCAUGAGUGCUUUGGAUAUGAGAUUGCCAGUUUCCUACACUUCCAUAACUUCAGGUAUUUAUUCUGAAAAAUGUAAAAUUACUUCAGGUGUACUGGAAAAGAGGGUCUCAAAAAAAACCUUUUCUGGCAGCUGUUCAUGAGCUCUUACCUUCCUCCCACAAGCACUCAGUUCAUGUGUGUCUGCUCUCCAGCACGUUAACUACAGCUGCUUCAAAACCACUGGAGGUGGAAUUACCCCACAUCAGAAAACAGCAGCUCUUCUGCUUUUGUUUAAUUGGUGUACUUUUCAUCCAUCUGGGAGACAUUGGUAAUCUGAUGCCCAAAUCUGAUUUCUAUUUAGCAGCAGGGCAGUCAGCCACAAGCACAAUUAAACAAAACAAUAGUGCAUGCUUUCUGAAGGGAAGCCAACUGGCAAAAAUAUAAACCAGUUCUUUUGAACUCAAAUAUCCAACACAACUCAAUAUCCAACACAGAAUGAAAGGCUCAGGUGUUUUUUCCCACUCUAGUUUUCUGUUUAGUCCUCACUUUUGAAUGAAGCUAAUGGAACAAUUCUAAAGAACUAAAAGGGAAAAAUCUCAGGAAAAGACUCCUCUUACUUUCAAAUAGUUUUUGUUAAGCACAUCACUGAGUGAAGAAACAUACUUUUCUUCUUAAGCAGGAGUGAAAUAUGUGACUAGAUUGUAACCAUAUCCUGCUUCACUAAACUGUGAAAAUUAAACAAUCCAGUGAUCUCUCCUUUGGUAGAAAUACUUGAUUGUAUGCAAUUAGAUCAGAAAAGCCCCAGUAUAAUCAUGCUCAUCUGCCUUAUUUAAUCAAACUAGGAUAAUGCCAAUUCAGUUUAGAAUUGUUCUUUUAAUUCAGUGCUCAUUUGUCAUUCAAAUGUGCUGUUCAAUCCAGCACAAAAAACCAUUUCUCUUCAAGGGAGUGGCCCAGAAGGGUGUGUGGGGUAUGCGCAGGCUAAUAUGACUUAUGUGAAACAUAGUGGUAUCUUUCAGUCUGAAACUGGAAUGUAUUCAGGGACAAUCUAGAUCCAGGAGAAGCUGAGAGCAAACACAACAUGCAAUCCAAAUCCAGUCUGGAAUGCUAUGCAUGGAGAGAACUACAGCUGAUGAUGAAGUCACGCCUGAAGUACUGUUCAAGUCAGGCUGCAGUCUAGUUUAGAGGAAGAAAAGACAAAAAAUAUUUUAAGGGUCCAUCUGUUACUUGAACUGUUUGUUUCUAACAACAAAACCCAGAAGGGAUUUUAUUACACAACCAGCUUCUUAACUCAGACCCAUUCCAGGUACCUGAUCAUUUAUCUCCCAGAAUUGUCCUUGCUGGACCAUCCUUGCUGGGUCUUGCUGACCCAGUUGCACACAUCUCCUCUGCAUGCUCCAUACUUGCUUUCUAGCUGCCUGUUAUACAAAGAAUAUAUGCUUUCCUUUGGAUCACAGGAUCUAUAAAAUCCUUCCUUGCAGACCUUCUUGUGCUCCACUCCACAAUUUAAUGUUUCGUUGAUGCAGUCUUACUGACUGGUGUAUGAUUUUACUUGACACAGGAUGAACCAUCCAUUCCUGAAAAAAGCCUCAGCCCUCUUCCUUUCCUAUUACGAUUGAUUUACAGAUGAAUUACAAAGUCACCUUUCUGCUGGCUCUCUAUGUUUGGGAGCACAGCUUCUUCAGUACGAGUUUUAGCAUACGGUUGUAGCAUAUGCAGUUAAACAAUAGUGCAAGUAGCUAGACAAGUAGUUUGGAGCAUUUACUAGAGGCAUUAGUGUCUGAUGUAGCCUUGACCUGAAACUCUCAAGGCAAGUAAGAGUAGUUUCCCUCCAAGAGUUUGUUGCCAUCACAGACAGGGCUAAGUUAUCACUCUUGCAUGUAUAUUCUGAAGCCCACUUUCGAAGUAGAUUUGCUGCAAAUAGUUUCCUUGAGAUUAAAUAUACCCCCAGAUGAGGCAUAAAUCCACAUACCUCCUGAAACAAGCUGAUUUAUCUUGCUAAGUCAUCCUUCUGAAAAACCACACUGCUUACCCAGCCUGUCUUUUUUCUUUUGCCCAUAUGCCCUGUCUUGAUUCAGGUGGAUCCUGAUCACAAGUCACCUCUGCACCCAGCAGCUGGUAUUCAAUAGCUUGCUGCCAAGUGAGAGAAGUUUUUUACAGCGCCCAGUUGCUUGCCUGUGAGUUAGCACCUGUUUAAACACAAACAUGAAACAAUGGCAUGAUGAAACAGAAACAGUUGUCUCUGUGGAGCAAGGGAAUAGUAACCUCAGCACAGCAUUCAGCAGAGAGCUGGGUAUUGCUGGGAGGAGUUUGUGACCCACAGAGAUGCAGCACAGUUCCACUGCAACAGCAAUGACGGUUUACCUGCUUACUCCGAGCUGGGUUCCAAGGCCCUGGAACUUGACUGUCACAGAAAUCAAGGGAAAAUGUCAUGUUUUCCCCCUGGGUCAAGGAAAAAGCUCUGACACAUGUUUUACGUUCUCACAUCUGCAGUAAGAAACACUAAGGAAGUGGAAAUUUGGCAUCCUCCAGAUCGGAUGCCAGACACUGGUUGGGAUGACCAGCACUGUCUUGAGCUUCUUUUUCAUAUUCACCUCUGAUUUUCUCCACUUUGACUCUAACAGUGUUUUCUUCCCAGUACUUGCAUAUUCCUGUAUCCUCCUCUCCUCCAUGUAAUUUCUGCUUUUCAGAUUGUGUCAAUAUUUCCACAGCAUAUUAUAUAUAUAUAUAUAUAUAUAUAUAUAUAUACACAUACAUGCUCUAGAGCUAUAAAAAGUAGUUCCAUACUAAGAGCUCACAAGCUAUUCUGCAAUUACUCUUAUGUGUCCUAAUUUUUGGUAGUUAUAUUGUUUGUAGUUUGUAGAAUUGGAUCAAAAAAGAAGCAAGAGGGUUUGUUCCUUUUGAAAAGUGUUUUAAUAUCCAUAUAUUUCACACUCUGCUUUUCUUCUUUUAUUGUAGUUUUAAUUCUUCAUAAGUUCCACCUGAAAGCCAGCUGGUAGCAGUUUCCAAUAUGUGGCAUGCAUUACCCUGAGGUGGACUGUGUUGGGCCAUCUGCACUAGAGACAUUUGAACAAGUAAAAGAUCAGUUCCCUGAGGUAGUCCUGAGCAGCUACACAGCAGCUGGCCCAGGACAUCACUGGAGUGGCAGCAGACAGGCAGGGAAAAGGUGGGAUCUGUUUCAGCUAUCUUAGCAGCAUUACUAGGGAGGAAGACUACAUUAAGCUUGUAUGAUUUCAAGGCAUUCCACUGUGAGAGAGGUGUUCCAUUCUCCUCCUUGCCUCCUCACUUAUGGCUGUAAGCUGAUGGUAAGAAUGUUUUAGGAAAAAGAGUGGUGUUGGAUUGCCUCAGCCUCCUUGCACUGUUUGGUGAUGCAGCUGAGCCCAUCAGUGCCUCACCGAAAUAAUGUCUGGAGCUCAUCUGUUGCCCUGUUGAAACAUUAGCCUUGCCAGGAGCUGUGCAUUCCUAGCCAAGCAUUUCUUUGAACUGGCUUUGGCUCCUUUGACCACAUAUUUAUCUGAUUCAACAGCAGGAUAUUUACUUGUAUUUGCUGUUAGUAUGUCAGCUUGCUUUAUCAAGAACACAUAAGACAUCAUAAAGAAAGCAGCAGGGACACACAGCUGGAAGCAGAGAAUCAGAGAUGGAAAUGGGGAAAUAGGCAGGGAGCCACUCAGUGGUCUUUUCCUUAUUAUCUAACCACACCUUGAAUGUUAUCUCCUGUAUCAGUCACCUGGGCUGAUAAACCAGUUAGAACUGGGGAAGCAAAGAGUGCAUGUUAGCACUGAUGACAACUUCAGUUACCCAAAGCCAGCUUUUCCUGUGUUGCAAAGGAGCUGAAAGGUUUGCAAGAUACUACCAAAGAAGGCACUUCUGAUGGUAAUUUGCAGGCCGUUGUGUUUUUUAACUCAUUUGCUCUGUACUUCAAACUGAAAGUGCUCUUUUCUGUGAGGGCUGAUUUUAAAAUACAAGACAUCGUCCCCCUCUGCCGUUGUUGUGACUUUGUGACAAAAGUUACUGCCUUUGCAACACAAUUUAAGUUGGAGGGAUUGUUGGAAAUGAUACAACUUCUGACAUUUUUAAUGUAAUUUUAGUCAGGGGUUUGUUUGCCUUUCCCCAGGGAGAGGGGAAUUGAAGUUUCUCUUCAAAAGACGCUGUUCACCCCGCUGGCGGGGGUCUGAUGAUCUUAACAUCUACAGACUGGGAGCAGCCAGAAAGUGCACAGGAGACAAGCGACCAUCAAGGACCAUUACCCGCCCUGGUGCGGUAGGAGACACCUGGUCAGGGAAAAGAUCGCCAAGAGAACCGAAGAAUGAGGAUCAAAUUAGCAUCGAAGACAGAGGGAAUCAAUAACCCAUAGAAAACAGAAAUACGAAGAUCUGUGUAAUUUAAGACCAAUGAAUGUGAAUUGAUUUGGGAUUCGUCUGUAUAAAGAUGAGAAAUGUGUGGUGAGAAACCAUUUGUAAUGGAAUCAUUUUCACUGCACAAACCAGGCAUGUGUGGAAGGAAUUUCUAUUGCACAUUCUGGCCAAAAUAGCAUCCUGGCCAGAAUAGAGUACUGCCUUGAUUCUCUAACAAAACAGAGAUGUUGGAGAGUUUCUGGUUUUCCUGCAGUCUCAGUGACAGGAUCACUACCCACAUCUCAGUUAUCACUCUAACAUGUUAAACUGAUACUCCAAGGAUUGUAUCCACAGCAAGGGCACACAUUCCUUUUUGCUGACACAGACUGGAAAAUAACAAUCAUCUCUGGAAAAACAGAAGCCUGAAGGAGCUGGGGGGGGGAGGCAGGGGGGGCGGUACUGGUACACACCACUGGCAACCUCUGCACACAGACUGAGUCCUUUUGGUUCAUGUAGCCAUACAAUUAUUUCAUGCAACACCAAAAUGAUGACUGCACUAAAACGAGGAAAACUGUAUGGUUUUAUCUAUGUCUCAUAUAUGCAUAUCCACUCUCCAUUUUUACUAGAUUCUGGUUCCAGUUUCCAGUGCAAACAAUCCCUCUUUAGAUCCCAGUGUCUCUGGCUUUUACUACAAUCCAAUCUGCCAAACCACUUGUGCAGCAAAGUCUUUAUCUGACAUCCCAAUCAUCUUUGCAACAACUGAGCUGUCAAAAGGAAGGCUGAGACUGCGGUCAGAGGGAGAGCACCUGCAGGAAAAGAGCAAACUUGUAUGAAGUAGAAAAGCUGGUGCUUCUUUCCAUCUGCCCAAUUGUAACAGUAGAAAAACAAAGAGCUGCAUCUUCAGAAUUAGAAGUGAAAUUAUUUUGCAAAACAAAACAUAUUUUCACUAUAUAUACACAGUAGCCUUUCAUUUAUUAAAAUAAUUUCCCCUUUUUUGUUUUCUUAUUAAACAGGGAAUUUGGGUUUUGAAAGGCUAAAAUAAAAUUUUAAGAGGGAAAAAACCCAUAACACAAGCAAAAACCUGCGAGUCUUUAAUCCAAAAUCUGUUUGUUUCAUAAUCAAGGUAAAAUAUAACUAUUUAACUGGAAGAAAAUCUGUCAUCUUGGAAGAAAAAUCUUAAUAUGAAAGGUGAUGUGGGGUUAAGUCAUGCUCUCUGAUUUUUUAACUUGCAAGCCUAUUGUUAAAAGCAGGAACAUAAAAAUCAUAAAGUUAAAAAGCUCUCACCAAUCAGUAAGCCUUUUUCCUUCCCCAAGUACAUUGAUGAAUUUCAGGCCAGAUGUUUCUCAGUCUCUGCUAAAUACCUGAACAGUGAGCCAGUGUCCACUAUUGCUCAAAAGCAGGCCUCUCCUCAGCAGCCCAACUGUACUGAUAUAUACAGCCAGCUAUGAAAUCCAGCAUCUUUUGAUAGAUUUUGCAGAUUUGGCAAGAAAGAUGUGUGUUAGACGUUAGCUCAACUCCAAAAUGUUAAAAACCACUCUUCUGAAGCUCUUAUAUAAUAAGAUAUUAUAAAAAUGAGAUUUUACCUUAAUAUUUAACCAGCAUUGACUACCAGUAAUAUUUUUUAAAAAUUAAUAAAAAAAUAUGGGUAGCUAAACCGAGUUUUAAUGUUGCUCUAGCCCCAGACCAUCGCUGAGCAUUCAUUUCAUGAGAUGAGAGAGAGAGGAUACAGUCCUGCUGAAUUGCAGUUCUGUCCUGAAGGUUGUAGACUUCCUGCAAGACAAACCUCCUUUUCAUACAUGUAACAGCAGCAAACCACACUCCUUCAACCCCAAGCCUGAGGGAGCAGCUGUUCACCCAUCUACAGGAAAACUCCUCUGGCACUCUGCCCCAGAGCCUGCAAGAACUUAGCAAGUUGUACAAAACCCGAUGCAAAAGCUGUCAAAUGAGUGCCAAGUUACCAAAGUUAAAGGCAACACAAAGCUUUACACUGAGUAUCUCUUAAAUGAAGACACACUUCCUAUUGCUUUGGGGAAAAUGGGAAAACCUUGUGGAUAUUAUUCUAAAGUGUUUUUGAGGACAAGGCUAGAUAACUUACCACCAGUCACUCACAUUUGAAUCAGAAUCAUUUGUUCUCAUUUUUAACUGCCAUCUGGGUAUCUACAGUUCCAUUUGAACUACAUCAAUGGUAGCUUCUUAAAGAAAAGAAUGCUAACAUAGCAGGAAAGCAUUGCAUGGGAGAAAAAGACCAAAGCCUAUCCUGUUGAUAUGACAGUUUAGUCAUAUCAAGUAUGAAGUAAAAUGAGAAGCAGAAAGCAAAUUCUAGGGCACAUAUGGGAUGGCUUCAAUUGCAACAGCUCACACAGGGUGAUGGCUACACAUUGCUGAAGAUGGCAAGUCUCUGAUUUCUCUUUCAGGAAGCCAAGACUGCACUUAGCAGUGCACUUACAUGCAUUUACCAGGAAAACACAUUCAAGUGAUGUGUAAUGAAAACUAGAAUAAGCAAAUAAGUAUCAGUAAUUUUUUGAAGACUCCAGUUCUUAAAAUUCUCCUCAUUUGUGCCAAAAGUCAAAAAAGUUCAAAAUUCCCUGCCAUAUUCAUAUGGACAGAAAUAAAUCCAUGUGGUACCAUUUUGUCUUAUACACACCUAGACCCCCAAAGUUAUGUAAUUCAAGUAGAAGAUGAAAAAAGACAAGAACAACUCAUCUCUUGUGCAAUAAGCAGGUAUCAGACAAAUGAUUAAAAAUUUAUUCCCACCCUACACAUGGUAUCCAAAGAAAAAAUACAUACAAAGAUCUAUUUAUCCCACAAUUACACAAGCAUCCUGCAUUUAAUAUUUUGAACCAUAUGACAAAGUUCAAGAUACUUUAUUUAUUAGAUACAACAAGUAAAUCUCAAAAUAGGGUUCCUGAAUGCAUGAAAAAAAAAAAAAUCACAUCGCUUAAGUGACUCCCACACACACAUCUUCCAGCACCAGAUUAUAUUUAUAAUGUACUUUUUUUAAUGAUGCUGUUAAUUUUCUCUUGCAGAUCUGCUCUUCUCCUUACAGAGUCUUUUGUAUUUCCAGACAUUGUUGUUUAGUUCAUUCUACCACUUUAUAUAUAUAUAUAUAUUUACAUCCAUCUCAAAUAUUUUUGUCCUACAGGCAUGUAAUUCAGUUGUUUUCUAGUUGUUUCUUUUUUGCAGUCUAUCUACAUCUCAAAAGAACUUGUGCACAGCACAAAUUAAUGCAAAUGGAUUUCUCAGUCUACAUACUGAAGGAUAUGCAUCCAGAGCUUGACCAUCUGAACACAUCUUUCAGCAGUCCAGGCUGUAUUUUUAAACUAAUUACAUAGAUCUACAAAACUGUAAUAAAAAAAUUAUUCUCAGACCACUACAAUGUCCAAGAAACAGUUGGUAAAGAUGUAAAAUUAUUCAGGUAUUUGUAACUCUGAACUGAUGUAGAGUGUUACCGUAUAAACUUAGGUUACAGAGAGGAGUAACUUUUUCUUAAAUCAAGAACUCUGUAGCAGAAUAAAUAAUUUACAAGCUUGAGAAAAUUUGCAUUGUUUCCAACACAAAUACUUCUUUCCUCUAUUGUAAAAAACUUAGAACUAAAUAUUAUUUCUGUCCAUGGCCGCACAACUUAAAUACUUGGUUUUUUCCACACAGUUCCCCUCUUUAAAUCUGGUAGAGGUAGAUGAAGACAAAACAAACCCCAACAUGUAAAGAUUAAGAUACUGCAAUUAAAUUCUAACCCUGCAAAUCUAGUGAACAUCUGUUCUCACCAGAUUUACAGAAAGCAGUUAUUUUUUCUUCCCUUUUUUAAAAUAGAACAGCACUGAACUUCUUCCAUCCACAUUGUCAAAAUAAGUGCCUGAUACUGUCAUAAAAUAAUUUUCAAAGCAUUUUUUAAUUAGAGCAGAAGCAGGUCCCACCUUGCACUCUCCAGUCAUUCAGAUACAUUUCUUAGGACUGCCUGUUGAGGAAAUGCUGCCUCACACCCAGCAUUUCCCAGACAGCCCCUGGGCCUCACCCCUAAAACGAUGACAACAGACAAACCUACAGAUCCCACCCGAAAUAACUCUUGGGGAAAGGCGUGGGAGCAAGGGAGGUGGUGCUGAAGGCAAGAGAGAGAACUUGGCAACCUUCACACCCAUUAAAGAUGGUGACCUUUCUGAAGCCUUCUCAAAAAUAUUUUUUAGCAUGGGUAUCUGUGUGCAAGGGCUGCAAAACAUUUGGUUACUACCACAAAAUCAGAGAUUUUAUUAGGCUCACAGGUAUUUACAAGAUCUUGUGUAAAUCUUCUGUCUUGGUUUUGGCACAGAGAAAAUUAUAAAGCAGAAACAACAUUUUUGAAAACAUUAAUUACUUCAUUAAUGUCCUGACAAAUUAAAAGAGAAAAUUAAGAUGAACUGUUUAGAUCUGAUUUCCUACUUUUCCACACCUUGGCCUGUGGCUUCAAACUUUCUGCUUUCCUCUUUACCUGUAAUUUUACCUACUUCAUCUAAAAAUCUAUCUGUGUUCAAGACAGAGAUAAGAAAGCAUAUACAAGAAAUAGGAAUGAGUCUGGCACCUCUUUU